rnacentral:rRNA from 1 species
GAUGAACGCUGGCGGCGUGCCUAAUACAUGCAAGUCGAGCGAACAGACGAGGAGCUUGCUCCUAUGAUGUUAGCGGCGGACGGGUGAGUAACACGUGGAUAACCUACCUAUAAGACUGGGAUAACUUCGGGAAACCGGAGCUAAUACCGGAUAACAUGUUGAACCGCAUGGUUCAACAGUGAAAGACGGUUUUGCUGUCACUUAUAGAUGGAUCCGCGCCGCAUUAGCUAGUUGGUAAGGUAACGGCUUACCAAGGCAACGAUGCGUAGCCGACCUGAGAGGGUGAUCGGCCACACUGGAACUGAGACACGGUCCAGACUCCUACGGGAGGCAGCAGUAGGGAAUCUUCCGCAAUGGGCGAAAGCCUGACGGAGCAACGCCGCGUGAGUGAAGAAGGUCUUCGGAUCGUAAAACUCUGUUAUUAGGGAAGAACAAAUGUGUAAGUAACUAUGCACGUCUUGACGGUACCUAAUCAGAAAGCCACGGCUAACUACGUG